GGAGGAAAGCAGGGGAUCGCAAGACCUUGCGCUCAUUGAGCGGCCGAUGCCUGAUUAGCUAGUUGGUGAGGUAAAGGCUUACCAAGGCGACGAUCAGUAGCUGGUCUGAGAGGACGACCAGCCACACUGGGACUGAGACACGGCCCAGACUCCUACGGGAGGCAGCAGUGGGGAAUUUUGGACAAUGGGGGAAACCCUGAUCCAGCCAUGCCGCGUGAGUGAAGAAGGCCUUCGGGUUGUAAAGCUCUUUCAGCCGGAACGAAACAGUCACGGAUAAUACCCGUGACUACUGACGGUACCGGAAGAAGAAGCACCGGCUAACUACGUGCCAGCAGCCGCGGUAAUACGUAGGGUGCGAGCGUUAAUCGGAAUUACUGGGCGUAAAGCGUGCGCAGGCGGUUUUGUAAGUCAGAAGAGAAAUCCCCGGGCUUAACCUGGGAACUGCGUUUAUAAUAGAAAGCUAGAAGGGC
rnacentral:rRNA from 1 species